CUACGGGGGGCACCAGUGGGGAAUAUUGGACAAUGGGGGAAACCCUGAUCCAGCAAUGCCGCGUGUGUGAAGAAGGCCUGCGGGUUGUAAAGCACUUUCGGUUGGGAGGACUGCUUCUAGCACUAAUAUUGUUGGAAGUUGACGUUACCUUCAGAAGAAGCACCGGCGAACUCCGUGCCAGCAGCCGCGGUAAUACGGAGGGUGCAAGGGUUAAUCGGAAUUACUGGGCGUAAAGCGCGCGUAGGCGGCUAGAUCAGUCGGGUGUGAAAGCCCCGGGCUUAACCUGGGAACUGCAUCCGAUACUGUCUAGCUUGAGUACAGGAGAGGAGAGUGGAAUUCCACAUGUAGCGGUGAAAUGCGUAGAUAUGUGGAGGAACACCAAUGGCGAAGGCAGCUCUCUGGCCUGAUACUGACGCUGAGGUGCGAAAGCGUGGGGAGCAAACAGGAUUAGAUACCCUUGUAGUC
rnacentral:rRNA from 1 species